AGCGAACGCUGGCGGCAGGCCUAACACAUGCACGUCGAACGAAGUCUUCGGACUUAGUGGCGGACGGGUGAGUAACACGUGGGAACGUGCCUUUAGGUUCGGAAUAACUCAGGGAAACUUGUGCUAAUACCGAAUGUGCCCUUCGGGGGAAAGAUUUAUCGCCUUUAGAGCGGCCCGCGUCUGAUUAGCUAGUUGGUGAGGUAAAGGCUCACCAAGGCGACGAUCAGUAGCUGGUCUGAGAGGAUGAUCAGCCACAUUGGGACUGAGACACGGCCCAAACUCCUACGGGAGGCAGCAGUGGGGAAUCUUGCGCAAUGGGCGAAAGCCUGACGCAGCCAUGCCGCGUGAAUGAUGAAGGUCUUAGGAUUGUAAAAUUCUUUCACCGGGGACGAUAAUGACGGUACCCGGAGAAGAAGCCCCGGCUAACUUCGUGCCAGCAGCCGCCGCCG
rnacentral:rRNA from 1 species